AUGGGAACAUCCAUGGGGACCUUAUGCACCUCCAUAAGGACACCCCAAAGCAGCUCCUUGGGGAUGCCUAUGGAGACACCCCAGGCCCUGGGAUACCCACAGGGACCCCUGCCCAGUCCCCAGGGCACCUGCUUAGGGACUCCCAGCUCUGUCCAUGGUCCCCGUUGGGGACAGUGCUGUGUUCCCACCUCCUCGCUGGGCACAUGGGGCUGGUGCCGGCGCAGCCACGCAGCCUUGUACUGGUCCAGCCGCUGCCCCUUGUAUCGCACCGAGGCCCAUCCGCAGCCCGACUUCUUGGCGGGGUUCACCAGGCGCUUGCAGUGCGUGGCCCAGGCGCUGGGGGAGCCGAACACCUGCCCUGUCUCCUGCCAUGUUAUGGUCCCAUCCGCACCCAGGUCACCCACGAACUUCUUGCCCUGGGAGGAGCGGGGAGGGCUGAGAUGGGCUGUGUCCACAUCCCCAUCCCAUUCAUGUCCAUAUCCCCAUCCCCAUCCAUGUCCACCUCCCUGUCCCAUCUGUGUCCUGUCCCCAUCACCAUCGUCCCCAUUCAUCUCCCAACCUACAUCUUCAUCCAUAGCCCCACUGCCAUCUCCCCAUCCUCGUCAUAGAGCCCUGACCCCAUUCAUGACCCCAUCUCCAUGUCCCCAUCCAUGUCCCCAUCACCACACCCCCAUCCCCGUCCCCCUCCCUGUCCCAUCACCGUGUCCCCGCUACCCUCACCAGGUAGUAGAUGGACAGGACCCCCCGUCCCGGCUCCAGGAGCCCAUCCCGGAGCAGCACACGCAGAGUGAUGCCCCGCCGUGUCAGCACCGCCCCCCGACCCCCCCCCGCUGCCCUGGCCCCGCUCUCAGGCUCCGGCUCAGCCUCAUCCAGCCCCGGCUCCAGCUCAUCCUCCUCCUCCUCCGCGCACUCAUCCCCACUCGGGGACGUGGCCGCCAGCGCUGUGGGGGGGUGAGGACAGAGACGGUGUCACCCCCACCCCAAAUGGGGCUUCCCCACCCGUUGGGGGGCGGCGCCUUUGGGUGUCCCCAUGCGGGGGGAGACGCAGAGGGCGUCAAUGGGUGGAAAUGGGGACGGUGGGGUGUGAACAUAGAGGGGAUGGGAAGGGAGGGGGGGAUAUGGGGGGAUACAGGGGGAUAUAGGGAUACAGGGGGAUAUGGGGAUACCCCCCCACACACACCGUGUCCGUCCCCCCACCCCGCAUUGCCCCCCCCCGUUCCGUUCCCCCGUUACCUGCCAUGCUCCCACGCCGUGUCCCCCCCCCCGCGUCGUUCCCACGUGACGGGGCGGCCUCGAGAGCUCCCGCCCCCACCCGAGCGGGCGCGGGGGGGCUAUGGGGGGGCACCGCACACGGGACCGAGCCGGGAUGAAUGG
rnacentral:lncRNA from 1 species